rnacentral:rRNA from 1 species
UACGUACGAGGCGAGCGUUAUCCGGAAUUACUGGGCGUAAAGCGCGCGCAGGCGGACCAUUAAGUUGGGCGUGAAAUCUCCCGGCCUAACUGGGAGGGGUCGCCCAAGACUGGUGGUCUUGAGGACAGCAGAGGUGGGUGGAAUUCCUGGUGUAGUGGUGAAAUGCGUAGAGAUCAGGAGGAACACCGGUGGCGAAGGCGGCUUCCUGGCCUGUUCUUGACGCUGAGGCGCGAAAGCUAGGGGAGCAAACGGG